rnacentral:rRNA from 1 species
GAUGAACGCUGGCGGCGUGCCUAAUACAUGCAAGUCGAGCGAACAGAUAAGGAGCUUGCUCCUUUGACGUUAGCGGCGGACGGGUGAGUAACACGUGGGUAACCUACCUAUAAGACUGGGAUAACUUCGGGAAACCGGAGCUAAUACCGGAUAACAUUUGGAACCGCAUGGUUCUAAAGUGAAAGAUGGUUUUGCUAUCACUUAUAGAUGGACCCGCGCCGUAUUAGCUAGUUGGUAAGGUAACGGCUUACCAAGGCGACGAUACGUAGCCGACCUGAGAGGAUGAUCGGCCACACUGGAACUGAGACACGGUCCAGACUCCUACGGGAGGCAGCAGUAGGGAAUCUUCCGCAAUGGGCGAAAGCCUGAUGGAGCAACGCCGCGUGAGUGAUGAAGGGUUUCGGCUCGUAAAACUCUGUUAUUAGGGAAGAACAAAUGUGUAAGUAACUGUGCACGUCUUGACGGUACCUAAUCAGAAAGCCACGGCUAACUACGUG